rnacentral:rRNA from 1 species
GACAGAGGGUGCAAACGUUGUUCGGAAUUACUGGGCGUAAAGCGCGUGUAGGCGGCUAAGCAAGUCGGGCGUGAAAUCCCACGGCUCAACCGUGGAAGUGCACUCGAAACUGCAUAGCUAGAGUCCUGGAGAGGAAGGCGGAAUGCUUGGUGUAGAGGUGAAAUUCGUAGAUAUCAAGCGGAACACCGGUGGCGAAGGCGGCCUUCUGGACAGUGACUGACGCUGAGACGCGAAAGCGUGGGGAGCAAACAGG